rnacentral:rRNA from 1 species
UACGUAGGGUGCGAGCGUUGUCCGGAUUUAUUGGGCGUAAAGAGCUCGUAGGCGGUUUGUCGCGUCGGCCGUGAAAUCUCCACGCUUAACGUGGAGCGUGCGGUCGAUACGGGCAGGCUGGAGUUCGGUAGGGGGAGACUGGAAUUCCUGGUGUAGCGGUGAAAUGCGCAGAUAUCAGGAGGAACACCGGUGGCGAAGGCGGGGUCUCUGGGGCCGAUACUGACGUGAGGAGCGAAAGCGUGGGGGAGCAAACAGGA